ACGGGGCGCAGCAGGCGCGAAACCUUUACACUGCACGACAGUGCGAUAAGGGGACUCCGAGUGUGAAGGCAUAGAGCCUUCACUUUUGUACACCGUAAGGUGGUGUACGAAUAAGGGCUGGGCAAGACCGGUGCCAGCCGCCGCGGUAAUACCGGCAGCCCGAGUGAUGGCCGAUAUUAUUGGGCCUAAAGCGUCCGUAGCUGGCCGGACAAGUCCGUUGGGAAAUCUGUUCGCUUAACGAGCAGGCGUCCAGCGGAAACUGUUCGGCUUGGGACCGGAAGACCUGAGGGGUACGUCCGGGGUAGGAGUGAAAUCCUGUAAUCCUGGACGGACCACCGGUGGCGAAAGCGCCUCAGGAGGACGGAUCCGACAGUGAGGGACGAAAGCUAGGGUCUCGAACCGGAUUAGAUACCCGUGUAGUCC
rnacentral:rRNA from 1 species